GACGAACGCUGGCGGCGUGCUUAACACAUGCAAGUCGAGCGGUAAGGCCCUUUCGGGGGUACACGAGCGGCGAACGGGUGAGUAACACGUGGGUGACCUGCCCUCAGCUCUGGGAUAAGCCUGGGAAACUGGGUCUAAUACUGGAUAUGACUCCACGGUGCAUGUCGUGGGGUGGAAAGCCUUGUGCGGCUGAGGAUGGGCCCGCCGCCUAUCAGCUUGUUGGUGGGGUGANGGCCUACCAAGGCGACGACGGGUAGCCGGCCUGAGAGGGCGACCGGCCACACUGGGACUGAGACACGGCCCAGACUCCUACGGGAGGCAGCAGUGGGGAAUCUUGCGCAAUGGGCGAAAGCCCUGACGCAGCGACGCCGCGUGAGGGAUGACGGCC
rnacentral:rRNA from 1 species